GGGGGUGACUGGUUUCGACAGGUGCCGGUCGAUCCCGGAAGAGCGAGCCGAGAACUCCGGGUCAUCUCGCUAAACAGCCCGGAAACACCAAUAGGUGCCGAAGACAACUUCGCACUGGCGGCCUAACUAGGUCACCCGUCCGCCCUCACCACCGCCUGAGGUGAGGGGUCGGGCGUCGCAAUCAGGCUCCACCCGCCGGCCACCGCCACACCGCCGGCGCGGGACACCUGCGUGGCGUACGGCCGUCGGGCAUCCGGUUCCGGGGUGCGACGGCCCGACAACUCACCGGGACCUACGCUCGUAGCGCUUCCGGAGUCGAGGCACCUGGACCGGGGUUCGAUUCCCCGCACCUCCACAA
rnacentral:tmRNA from 1 species